GAUGAACGCUGGCGGCGUGCCUAAUACAUGCAAGUCGAGCGAACAGAUGAGGAGCUUGCUCCUCUGACGUUAGCGGCGGACGGGUGAGUAACACGUGGAUACCCUACCUAUAAGACUGGGAUAACUUCGGGAAACCGGAGCUAACACCGGAUAAUAUAUUGAACCGCAUGGUUCAUUAGUGAAAGACGGCUUUGCUGUCACUUAUAGAUGGAUCCGCGCCGCUUUAGCUAGUUGGUACGGUAACGGCUUACCAAGGCUACGAUGCGUAGCCGACCUGAGAGGGUGAUCGGCCACACUGGAACUGAGACACGGUCCAGACGCCUACGGGAGGCAGCAGUAGGGAAUCUUCCGCAAUGGGCGAAAGCCUGACGGAGCAACGCCGCGUGAGUGAUGAAGGUCUUCGGAUCGUAAAACUCUGUUAUUAGGGAAGAACAAAUGUGUAAGUAACUAUGCACGUCUUGACGGUACCUAAUCAGAAAGCCACGGCUAACUACGUG
rnacentral:rRNA from 1 species